ACGCCUGACCGCAAGGAGUCAACGGUACGGUGAUGAUUGGUGAAUGGUGGGACGCCGGCAAUCCGCAGUCUGCGAGUUGCUUCCGUGGCUGUAGGACGUGUCUGAUUUCUUCCCGAGAUUUUGAGGGAAUAAAACAAUGAAGGUGUCCACAGCAAUGACGUGGGCGGCUGGAUGCCUCUUCUUGCUGAGUGCAGAUGGGCGGAAGAAUCUUUCGCCAGGAACCGAACAUUCUCAGCUGCAAGAUUUCGAUUCAUCCUUCUGGGAAGCUAGGGAUCGUAGGGAUGACGUCACGAGGCUGUCGGUGGAA